GACGAACGCUGGCGGCGUGCUUAACACAUGCAAGUCGAACGGAAAGGCCCUGCUUUUGUGGGGUGCUCGAGUGGCGAACGGGUGAGUAACACGUGAGCAACCUGCCCUUGACUUUGGGAUAACUUCAGGAAACUGGGGCUAAUACCGGAUAGGAGCUCCUGCUGCAUGGUGGGGGUUGGAAAGUUUCGGCGGUUGGGGAUGGACUCGCGGCUUAUCAGCUUGUUGGUGGGGUAGUGGCUUACCAAGGCUUUGACGGGUAGCCGGCCUGAGAGGGUGACCGGCCACAUUGGGACUGAGAUACGGCCCAGACUCCUACGGGAGGCAGCAGUGGGGAAUAUUGCACAAUGGGCGGAAGCCUGAUGCAGCAACGCCGCGUGCGGGAUGACGGCCUUCGGGUUGUAAACCGCUUUCGCCUGUGACGAAGCGUGAGUGACGGUAAUGGGUAAAGAAGCACCGGCUAACUACGUGCCAUCAGCCGCGGUGAUACGUAGGGCGCGAGCGUUGUCCGGAUUCAUUGGGCGUAAAGGGCUCGUAGGUGGUUGAUCGCGUCGGAAGUGUAAUCUUGGGGCUUAACCCUGAGCGUGCUUUCGAUACGGGUUGACUUGAGGAAGGUAGGGGAGAAUGGAAUUCCUGGUGGAGCGGUGGAAUGCGCAGAUAUCAGGAGGAACACCAGUGGCGAAGGCGGUUCUCUGGGCCUUUCCUGACGCUGAGGAGCGAAAGCGUGGGGAGCGAACAGGCUUAGAUACCCUGGUAGUCCACGCUGUAAACGGUGGGUACUAGGUGUGGGGUCCAUUCCACGGGUUCCGUGCCGUAGCUAACGCUUUAAGUACCCCGCCUGGGGAGUACGGCCGCAAGGCUAAAACUCAAAGGAAUUGACGGGGCCCCGCACAAGCGGCGGAGCAUGCGGAUUAAUUCGAUGCAACGCGUAGAACCUUACCUGGGUUUGACAUGGAUCGGGAGUGCUCAGAGAUGGGUGUGCCUCUUUUGGGGUCGGUUCACAGGUGGUGCAUGCCUGUCGUCAGCUCGUGUCGUGAGAUGUUGGGUUAAGUCCCGCAACGAGCGCAACCCUUGUUCACUGUUGCCAGCACGUUAUGGUGGGGACUCAGUGGAGACCGCCGGGGUCAACUCGGAGGAAGGUGGGGAUGACGUCAAGUCCUCAUGCCCCUUAUGUCCAGGGCUUCACGCAUGCUACAAUGGCUGGUACAGAGAGUGGCGAGCCUGUGAGGGUGAGCGAAUCUCGGAAAGCCGGUCUCAGUUCGGAUUGGGGUCUGCAACUCGACCUCAUGAAGUCGGAGUCGCUAGUAAUCGCAGAUCAGCAACGCUGCGGUGAAUACGUUCCCGGGGCU
rnacentral:rRNA from 1 species